UCCCCGGUGCCCAGCCCUGGGGGUGCAGCACAGCUGGCGAUUACAGCUGCGGACGUGAGGACUCCACUGCGAGCUGAGCGGGAACAGCCCCUGCCCCUGGCUGAGGCGCAGAGGCACGGAAUGCUCACACUGCCAAGGGCUGAGGGAGCCAAUGGCGCUGCUGCUGGACCAGGCACAAACGCAGCAGGAGCAUUUCAGGCACGGCAAGGACAGCUCAUUUCCCUGCCUGCUCCCGCGGCUGCUUCCUUUGCUGCCCCGAGAGUGGUUUCCGGCAGCUCUGUUCUCUCAGCGCUGGGACGAGCUCUGUGACUCUGCCUCACUCAGCAAACACGCACCUUGGGCUCGGCAUGCACCUCGCCUAUCUCAUCCUCACCGUCUUCCUGGGACAGCUCCUGGGCACCUCAGGGCAAACCACGGUCACCCAGGAAGAUGGAGCAGUCACAGUGAAGCAGGGACACCCCUUCCACACCACCUGCAAAUACCAGACCAGUUAUUCUCCUGUCGUGCUCUGGUACCAGCUACGGCAAGGCCAAGGCCCACAGCUGCUCUCCUAUCAAGCAGGGCCUGGCCCCAAGCACAGCGGCCGUUUCACCACGCACCUGAACACCACGGGGAAAUACAGUGUCCUGCAGGUGCAGCAAGUGGAGCUCUCUGACACUGCCUUGUACCUCUGUGCUGUGCAAGACACCCUGGAAAAUAUUCUGGACUAUUUUGACUAA